AUUGAACGCUGGCGGCAUGCUUUACACAUGCAAGUCGAACGGCAGCGCGGGCUUCGGCCUGGCGGCGAGUGGCGAACGGGUGAGUAAUGCAUCGGAACGUGCCCAGUAGUGGGGGAUAGCCCGGCGAAAGCCGGACUAAUACCGCAUACGACCUGAGGGUGAAAGCGGGGGACCGAAAGGCCUCGCGCUAUUGGAGCGGCCGAUGUCGGAUUAGCUAGUUGGUGGGGUAAAGGCUUACCAAGGCGACGAUCCGUAGCUGGUCUGAGAGGACGACCAGCCACACUGGGACUGAGACACGGCCCAGACUCCUACGGGAGGCAGCAGUGGGGAAUUUUGGACAAUGGGGGCAACCCUGAUCCAGCCAUGCCGCGUGCGGGAAGAAGGCCUUCGGGUUGUAAACCGCUUUUGUUCGGGAAGAAAUCCUCUGGGCUAAUACCCCGGGGGGAUGACGGUACCGGAAGAAUAAGCACCGGCUAACUACGU
rnacentral:rRNA from 1 species